rnacentral:rRNA from 1 species
GGCGAAUGGGUGAGUAACACGUACUUAAUCUACCCUUUAGUUUGGGACAACAGUUGGAAACGACUGCUAAUACCAAAUAUUCUUUUUUAUCGCAUGAUAAUUUAGUGAAAGGAGCGUUUGCUCCGCUAAAGGAUGAGAGUGCGGUACAUUAGUUAGUUGGUGGGGUAAUGGCCUACCAAGACAAUGAUGUAUAGCGGGGUUGAGAAGCUGAUCCGCCACACUGGGACUGAGAUACGGCCCAGACUCCUACGGGAGGCAGCAGUAGGGAAUAUUCCACAAUGAGCGAAAGCUUGAUGGAGCGACACAGCGUGCAGGAUGACGGUCUUCGGAUUGUAAACUGCUGUUAUAAGGGAAGAAAAACACUUUUAGGAAAUGAUUAGUGCUUGACGGUACCUUAUCAGAAAGCACCGGCAAACUAUGUGCCAGCAGCCGCGGUAAUACAUAGGGUGCAAGCGUUAUCCGGAAUUAUUGGGCGUAAAGCGUUCGUAGGUGGUUUAUUAAGUCUGAAGUUAAAGCCCGGGGCUCAACCCCGGCCCGCUUUGGAUACUGAUAAACUAGAGUUACAGAGAGGUAAGUGGAACUCCAAGUGAAGCGGUGGAAUGCGUAGAUAUUUGGAAGAACACCAAUGGCGAAGGCAGCUUACUGGAUGUAUACUGACACUCAGGAACGAAAGCGUGGGGAGCAAACAGGAUUAGAUACCCUGGUAGUCCACGCCGUAAACGAUGAUCAUUAGCUGGUGGAAAAAAUCACUGGCACAGCUAACGCAUUAAAUGAUCCGCCUGAGUAGUAUGCUCGCAAGAGUGAAACUUAAAGGAAUUGACGGGGACCCGCACAAGCGGUGGAGCAUGUGGUUUAAUUUGAAGAUACGCGUAGAACCUUACCCACUCUUGACAUCUUCCGCAAAGCUAUAGAGAUAUAGUGGAGGUUAACGGAAUGACAGAUGGUGCAUGGUUGUCGUCAGCUCGUGUCGUGAGAUGUUAGGUUAAGUCCUGCAACGAGCGCAACCCCUAUCUUUAGUUACUAACAUUUAGUUGAGGACUCUAGAGAGACUGCCUGGGU